rnacentral:rRNA from 1 species
UGCGUAGGCGGAUUAAUAAGUCAGUGGUGAAAACCUGCAGCUUAACUGUAGACUUGCCAUUGAUACUGUUAGUCUUGAGUACGGUCAAGGUAGGCGGAAUGUGUAAUGUAGCGGUGAAAUGCUUAGAUAUUACACAGAACACCGAUUGCGAAGGCAGCUUACUGGACCAUUACUGACGCUGAGGCACGAAAGCGUGGGGAGCGAACAGGAUUAGAUACCCUGGUAGUC